rnacentral:rRNA from 4 species
UUAAGCGACUAAGCGUACACGGUGGAUGCCCUGGCAGUCAGAGGCGAUGAAGGACGUGCUAAUCUGCGAUAAGCGUCGGUGAGGUGAUAUGAACCGUUAUAACCGGCGAUUUCCGAAUGGGGAAACCCAGUGUGUUUCGACACACUAUCAUUAACUGAAUCCAUAGGUUAAUGAGGCGAACCGGGGGAACUGAAACAUCUAAGUACCCCGAGGAAAAGAAAUCAACCGAGAUUCCCCCAGUAGCGGCGAGCGAACGGGGAGGAGCCCAGAGCCUGAAUCAGUGUGUGUGUUAGUGGAAGCGUCUGGAAAGGCGUGCGAUACAGGGUGACAGCCCCGUACACAAAAAUGCACAUAUUGUGAGCUCGAUGAGUAGGGCGGGACACGUGGUAUCCUGUCUGAAUAUGGGGGGACCAUCCUCCAAGGCUAAAUACUCCUGACUGACCGAUAGUGAACCAGUACCGUGAGGGAAAGGCGAAAAGAACCCCGGCGAGGGGAGUGAAAAAGAACCUGAAACCGUGUACGUACAAGCAGUGGGAGCCUCUUAAUGGGGUGACUGCGUACCUUUUGUAUAAUGGGUCAGCGACUUAUAUUCUGUAGCAAGGUUAACCGAAUAGGGGAGCCGAAGGGAAACCGAGUCUUAACUGGGCGUUAAGUUGCAGGGUAUAGACCCGAAACCCGGUGAUCUAGCCAUGGGCAGGUUGAAGGUUGGGUAACACUAACUGGAGGACCGAACCGACUAAUGUUGAAAAAUUAGCGGAUGACUUGUGGCUGGGGGUGAAAGGCCAAUCAAACCGGGAGAUAGCUGGUUCUCCCCGAAAGCUAUUUAGGUAGCGCCUCGUGAAUUCAUCUCCGGGGGUAGAGCACUGUUUCGGCAAGGGGGUCAUCCCGACUUACCAACCCGAUGCAAACUGCGAAUACCGGAGAAUGUUAUCACGGGAGACACACGGCGGGUGCUAACGUCCGUCGUGAAGAGGGAAACAACCCAGACCGCCAGCUAAGGUCCCAAAGUCAUGGUUAAGUGGGAAACGAUGUGGGAAGGCCCAGACAGCCAGGAUGUUGGCUUAGAAGCAGCCAUCAUUUAAAGAAAGCGUAAUAGCUCACUGGUCGAGUCGGCCUGCGCGGAAGAUGUAACGGGGCUAAACCAUGCACCGAAGCUGCGGCAGCGACACUAUGUGUUGUUGGGUAGGGGAGCGUUCUGUAAGCCUGUGAAGGUGGCCUGUGAGGGGUGCUGGAGGUAUCAGAAGUGCGAAUGCUGACAUAAGUAACGAUAAAGCGGGUGAAAAGCCCGCUCGCCGGAAGACCAAGGGUUCCUGUCCAACGUUAAUCGGGGCAGGGUGAGUCGACUCCUAAGGCGAGGCCGAAAGGCGUAGUCGAUGGGAAACAGGUUAAUAUUCCUGUACUUGGUGUUACUGCGAAGGGGGGACGGAGAAGGCUAUGUUGGCCGGGCGACGGUUGUCCCGGUUUAAGCGUGUAGGCUGGUUUUCCAGGCAAAUCCGGAAAACCAAGGCUGAGGCGUGAUGACGAGGCACUACGGUGCUGAAGCGACAAAUGCCCUGCUUCCAGGAAAAGCCUCUAAGCAUCAGGUAACAUCAAAUCGUACCCCAAACCGACACAGGUGGUCAGGUAGAGAAUACCAAGGCGCUUGAGAGAACUCGGGUGAAGGAACUAGGCAAAAUGGUGCCGUAACUUCGGGAGAAGGCACGCUGAUAUGUAGGUGAAGCGACUUGCUCGUGGAGCUGAAAUCAGUCGAAGAUACCAGCUGGCUGCAACUGUUUAUUAAAAACACAGCACUGUGCAAACACGAAAGUGGACGUAUACGGUGUGACGCCUGCCCGGUGCCGGAAGGUUAAUUGAUGGGGUUAGCGGUAACGCGAAGCUCUUGAUCGAAGCCCCGGUAAACGGCGGCCGUAACUAUAACGGUCCUAAGGUAGCGAAAUUCCUUGUCGGGUAAGUUCCGACCUGCACGAAUGGCGUAAUGAUGGCCAGGCUGUCUCCACCCGAGACUCAGUGAAAUUGAACUCGCUGUGAAGAUGCAGUGUACCCGCGGCAAGACGGAAAGACCCCGUGAACCUUUACUAUAGCUUGACACUGAACAUUGAGCCUUGAUGUGUAGGAUAGGUGGGAGGCUUUGAAGUGUGGACGCCAGUCUGCAUGGAGCCGACCUUGAAAUACCACCCUUUAAUGUUUGAUGUUCUAACGUUGGCCCGUAAUCCGGGUUGCGGACAGUGUCUGGUGGGUAGUUUGACUGGGGCGGUCUCCUCCUAAAGAGUAACGGAGGAGCACGAAGGUUGGCUAAUCCUGGUCGGACAUCAGGAGGUUAGUGCAAUGGCAUAAGCCAGCUUGACUGCGAGCGUGACGGCGCGAGCAGGUGCGAAAGCAGGUCAUAGUGAUCCGGUGGUUCUGAAUGGAAGGGCCAUCGCUCAACGGAUAAAAGGUACUCCGGGGAUAACAGGCUGAUACCGCCCAAGAGUUCAUAUCGACGGCGGUGUUUGGCACCUCGAUGUCGGCUCAUCACAUCCUGGGGCUGAAGUAGGUCCCAAGGGUAUGGCUGUUCGCCAUUUAAAGUGGUACGCGAGCUGGGUUUAGAACGUCGUGAGACAGUUCGGUCCCUAUCUGCCGUGGGCGCUGGAGAACUGAGGGGGGCUGCUCCUAGUACGAGAGGACCGGAGUGGACGCAUCACUGGUGUUCGGGUUGUCAUGCCAAUGGCACUGCCCGGUAGCUAAAUGCGGAAGAGAUAAGUGCUGAAAGCAUCUAAGCACGAAACUUGCCCCGAGAUGAGUUCUCCCUGACUCCUUGAGAGUCCUGAAGGAACGUUGAAGACGACGACGUUGAUAGGCCGGGUGUGUAAGCGCAGCGAUGCGUUGAGCUAACCGGUACUAAUGAACCGUGAGGCUUAACCUU